CCUACGGGAGGCAGCAGUGGGGAAUUUUGGACAAUGGGCGAAAGCCUGAUCCAGCAAUGCCGCGUGUGUGAAGAAGGCCUUCGGGUUGUAAAGCACUUUUGUUCGGGAAGAAAAGGUUUUGGCUAAUAUCCGAAACUGAUGACGGUACCGGAAGAAUAAGCACCGGCUAACUACGUGCCAGCAGCCGCGGUAAUACGUAUGGUGCAAGCGUUAAUCGGAAUUACUGGGCGUAAAGCGUGCGCAGGCGGUUUGUUAAGACAGAUGUGAAAUCCCCGGGCUCAACCUGGGAACUGCAUUUGUGACUGGCAAGCUAGAGUAUGGCAGAGGGGGGUGGAAUUCCGCGUGUAGCAGUGAAAUGCGUAGAUAUGCGGAGGAACACCGAUGGCGAAGGCAGCCCCCUGGGCCAAUACUGACGCUCAUGCACGAAAGCGUGGGGAGCAAACAGGAUUAGAUACCCUGGUAGUCCACGCCCUAAACGAUGUCAACUAGUUGUUGGGGAUUCAUUUCCUUAGUAACGUAGCUAACGCGUGAAGUUGACCGCCUGGGGAGUACGGUCGCAAGAUUAAAACUCAAAGGAAAUUGACGG
rnacentral:rRNA from 1 species